rnacentral:pre_miRNA from 1 species
UAACAUCAGCAGGCUGGCCGGCCCCCAGACUAGGCUGAGUAGUAUCUCUUCAAAACGCUCACCCUCAAGCACAACUAGGAGC